rnacentral:rRNA from 1 species
GACGAACGCUGGCGGCGUGCCUAAUACAUGCAAGUCGAACGCAGUGGGGACGGGUGAGUAACACGUGGGUAACCUCCCAUCAGAGGGGAUAACACUUGGAAACAGGUGCUAAACCGAUACUGAUGGAUGGACUCGCGGUGGAUUAGCUAGUUGGUGAGGUAACGCCUCACCAAGGCCACGAUGCAUAGCCGGCCGGAGGGGAUGAGCGUCCACACUGGGACUGAGACACGGCCCAGACUCCUACGGGAGGCAGCAGUAGGGAAUCUGCGGCAAUGGACGAAAGUCUUACCGAGCGACGCCGCGUGAGUGAAGAAGGUAUUCGGAUCGUAAACCUCUAUUGUUAGGGAAGCGGUAUCUAACCAGAAAGCCACGGCUAACUACGUGCCAGCAGCCGCGGUAAUAC